GGUGAACUGGGGGGCUGACUGGACACGCCUGGGUCCAAAUCACAUUCCCCCGCAAAGAAUCCACUCUUGCAGAAAGAAGAGGAGCACACCAUACCUAAGGACAGACAUCUCCCAAGACCAGGCUAGCUCUGCCUGAACCAUUUUCUUCUGCUUAUGCAGGCUGACAGCCCUGACUGUUCAGCUCCCAAGGCUACCUCGCGAAUGCCCAUGCGCCAGAAUCCGAGCGCCUUGCGCAAGCGGUGAGGGAAGACUCCCGUCAGUGACUGUCACUGUUGCCGGGCGACAAGUAUCUGUGGCUUGGCGGAGAAAGAGACCUCUGUGGGGUACGUCGGCGUUGGACUCUUGCCUGUCUUCUUUGAAGGAUCCACGUGAUAGUCCCACAAUCCUAGGAGAUGGCAGUGGUGAAUCAGCCUGAAGAAAUCUUAAGCGGAGCUUCAGAAAUACAAUGCGAAAUCCCUAAGGAUCCAAAAGGACCCGCAGGAUGUGGCAGGCCUGCCUAGACCGUUUGAGGACUGCUGUGCUGAGAAGCAGGAGCAUCUGUGAGGCCCAGAAUGAAGUGUGGCAGUGAGCUCAAGGACCCGGCCAUCUUUCAAUGACAUGCACCUCCGGUAUAUCAGGGAUGAUUUCAUCACCCCAAGACCCCUCAACAUUUCACCAAUUCCGUCACACAGCCUCUUUUGGCAAUGGAAUCAGAAGAACCAUUCCCAGUGCCCACCUUAAAUUCUAGAAACUUCUCCCCCUCCACUGGAGCCUAACCACGGAGACAGCCCGAGGAGGCCCUAUGGUGGAGACUUAUAGGGUCUCCCUGUGGUUAUCUCAGACAGCCUUAUUCCCGAGGCCAGGCUGGCUCUGCCUGUACUAUUUUUCUCUGGUUAGGCAGACUGACAGCCCUGACGGUUCAGCUCCCAAGGCUGCCUUGCGAAUGCGCAUGCGCCAGUCUCUGGGCACCUUGAGCAAGCUGUGAGCGAAGGCUCGCGCCACAGUGAAUUCCACUGUUGCCUGGCUGCAAGUGUCUGUGGCUUGGCAGAGAAGAAGACCUCUGUGGACGUGGGUACGCGUUGGAGUUUCACCUGUCUUCGUUGAAAGAUCCACGUGAUAGUCUCACAAUCCCAGCAGAUGGCAGUGGCGAGUCAGCCUGAGGAAACCUGAAGUGGAGCUUCAGAAAUACACUGCAAAAUCCCUAAGGUUCAAGAAGAUCUGCAGGAUGCGUCAGGCCUGCCUACUUGGUGUGGGGGUAUCUCCUUGAAAGUUGCCUCACUGUGAUUUCUAGUUCCUGAAUCUGCGGUGAAUUGGGAUCUGACUAAGACCAACAGGGAUCCAAAUCACCUUCCCAUGCAAAACAACUAAUCUUCAAUAAAAAACAGGAGCAUAUCACACCCAA